UUGGGGACUGGUUAGAAGGUGUUCUAACCUGAGCGGGCUUGCGACGGACUUUCGGAUUAUCUCCGGCUGAUGGGUGAAGGCUUUUAGAAACUUAACUUGAGCAGAGUUGGGGCUCCGUUGAGUUGAAUUUCGGGAUUUCUUGUGGCUGGAUUGAGUUUAGUGAUAGAGCCUUCCACCCCGG